rnacentral:rRNA from 1 species
GGAGUUAGCCGGUGCUUCUUCUGUGAGUGAUGUCCUUCCUGCCGGCUAUUAACCCGCAGGCCUUCUUCCUCACUGAAAGUGCUUUACAACCCGAAGGCCUUCUUCACACACGCGGCAUGGCUGGAUCAGGGUUGCCCCCAUUGUCCAAUAUUCCCCACUGCUGCCUCCCGUAGGAGUCUGGGCCGUGUCUCAGUCCCAGUGUGGCUGAUCAUCCUCUCAGACCAGCUACGGAUCGUCGCCUUGGUGAGCCGUUACCUCACCAACCAGCUAAUCCGACAUAGGCUCAUCCGAUAGCGCGAGGCCCGAAGGUCCCCCGCUUUCCCCCGUAGGGCGUAUGCGGUAUUAGCCUGGGUUUCCCCAGGUUAUCCCCCACUACCGGGCAGAUUCCUAUGCAUUACUCACCCGUCCGCCGCUCGCCACCAGGGAGCAAGCUCCCCGUGCUGCCGCUCGACUUGCAUGUGUUAGGCCUGCCGCCACGCGUUCAUCUGAGCGAGAUACAACUACUGA